UUAAUAAUUUUUGUGAGAGAGAAAUUUGGAGUUUAUAUGUUUGUACCUUAUGAAGUACAGUACUAGUACCACUUUACAAAAAGAAAAAAAGGAAAAUGAAGAAAUACUAUACUGGCUCUUUCAUGCCUAUAUAUAAAGCUGCAUCAUGAGGAUUUUGGAGCCAGCAGAUUGAAAAACAGUACUAAAAGCGAGAUCAAAAUAUCAAAGCGUAGGGACUUCUAUCGAAGGUGAGAUGGCGCCGAAUGCCAUGUAUAACGGUAGCUGCGAUUACAAGCUUUAUAUAGCUAGCCAAUUCAGGCGGCGAGCUUCAUCUCUCCUCGAUUGAAGCCUCUCACGCUUUGAUUCCACGGAAAAGAAACCCAUCUUUAAUUUGUUCGCAAGAUUGGAGAAAGAUCAGAUCCGGCCACCUGCGACGUCCACUUCUACAUAGGCAACGGAGAAACGCAUGGCCUGGUCGGCGGGGGUGUUGAUCAUUAGCUUGCUAGUGAAGGACUCAAGUACAUGAUUUCUUCUGAGAAGGGUAUAUUACUUGUCCAAAUGAAGGCUGAAGGAUGAAGAGCUAAUUGAAUCUUCUGUUCACAAGGUUCACCGCAAGUUUUGUCAUUUAACAUGUGAUUGCAGUAUUAAUUUGGACUUUAAAAUCAUCUAAGCCUGCAACUGGUGUUUUUCUA